GACGAACGCUGGCGGCGUGCUUAACACAUGCAAGUCGAACGGUGAAGGGGUCUGCUUUUGUGGGCCCUGGAUGAGUGGCGAACGGGUGAGUAACACGUGAGUAACCUGCCCCCUUCUUCUGGAUAACCGCAUGAAAGUGUGGCUAAUACGGGAUAUUCUGGGUCUGUCGCAUGAUGGGUCUGGGAAAGAUUGCGCCUUUGGGUGGUUUUGGUGGGGGAUGGGCUCGCGGCCUAUCAGCUUGGGGGUGGGGUGAUGGCCUACCAAGGCGGUGACGGGUAGCCGGGAUGAGGGGGUGGACGGUCACAAUGGGACUGAGGCACGGCCCAGAAUGCUAGGGGAGGCAGCAGUGGGGAAUAUUGCAGAAUGGGCGCAAGCCUGAUGCAGCGACGCCGGGUGAGGGAUGGAGGCCUUCGGGUUGUAAACCUCUUUCGACAGUGAAGCAGGCCUGCUACUUGUGGGUGGGUUGACGGUAGCUGGAUAAGAAGCGCCGGCUAACUACGUG
rnacentral:rRNA from 1 species